UAGGUUGUAACAUAUGAAUUUUGAGGGACAC
rnacentral:piRNA from 1 species